UAUUGGUCAAUGGGCGGGAGCCUGAACCAGCCAAGUCGCGUGAGGGAGUAAGGCCCUACGGGUCGUAAACCUCUUUUGCCGGGGAGCAGGGCGGCGGACGUUUCCGCCGUUUGAGAGUACCCGGAGCAAAAGCAUCGGCGAACUCCGUGCCCGCAGCCGCGGUAAUACGGAGGAUGCGAGCGUUAUCCGGAUUUAUUGGGUUUAAAGGGUGCGUAGGCGGGCUUUUAAGUCAGCGGUAAAAAUUCGGGGCUCAACCCCGUCCGGCCGUUGAAACUGGGGGCCUUGAGUGGGCGAGAAGAAGGCGGAAAGCGUAGUGUAGCGGUGAAAUGCAUAGAUAUCAAGCAGAACCCCGAUUGCGAAGGCAGCCUUCCGGCGCCCUACUGACGCUGAGGCACGAGAGUGCGGGGAUCGAACAGG
rnacentral:rRNA from 1 species